AUAUUAUUUUUGAAAUUUUCUUUUUCUGAAUAAAAGUUUAUCAUCUAUAUUUUUAUUCAGAAAAAGAAAAUUUCAAAAAUAAUAU
rnacentral:miRNA from 1 species